rnacentral:tRNA from 1 species
UAGAAUAUGGUGUAUGGAGGUAGCACGAAGAAUUUUGAGUUCUUAGGAUUAGGUUCAAGUCCUAUAAUUCUAG